rnacentral:lncRNA from 1 species
GAAGAGGAGGAGGUGGAGGAUGAGGGAUGAGGAUGAGGACGAGGAUGAGGAGCAGGACGGGGAGAAGGAUGAAGAUGAGGAUGAAGACGAGGAUUAACAUGAGGAGGAGGAGGAGGAUGAAGAAGGGGAUGAGGAGGAGGAGGAGGAGGAGGAUGAAAAUGAGGACAAGGAGGAGGACG